rnacentral:rRNA from 1 species
UUGNNCAUGGGGGAACCCUGAUCCAGCCAUGCCGCGUGUGUGAAGAAGGCCUUUUGGUUGUAAAGCACUUUAAGCAGUGAAGAAGACUCCAUGGUUAAUACCCAUGGACGAUGACAUUAGCUGCAGAAUAAGCACCGGCUAACUCUGUGCCAGCAGCCGCGGUAAUACAGAGGGUGCAAGCGUUAAUCGGAAUUACUGGGCGUAAAGGGAGCGUAGGUGGCUCUAUAAGUCAGAUGUGAAAUCCCCGGGCUUAACCUGGGAACUGCAUCUGAAACUGUAGAGCUAGAGUAUGUGAGAGGAAGGUAGAAUUCCAGGUGUAGCGGUGAAAUGCGUAGAGAUCUGGAGGAAUACCGAUGGCGAAGGCAGCCUUCUGGCAUAAUACUGACACUGAGGCUCGAAAGCGUGGGUAGCAAACAGGAUUAGAUACCCUGGUAGUCCACGCCGUAAACGAUGUCUACUAGUCGUUGGGUCCCUUGAGGACUUAGUGACGCAGCUAACGCAAUAAGUAGACCGCCUGGGGAGUACGGCCGCAAGGUUAAAACUCAAAUGAAUUGACGGGGGCCCGCACAAGCGGUGGAGCAUGUGGUUUAAUUCGAUGCAACGCGAAGAACCUUACCUGGUCUUGACAUAUCUAGAAUCCUGCAGAGAUGCGGGAGUGCCUUCGGGAAUUAGAAUACAGGUGCUGCAUGGCUGUCGUCAGCUCGUGUCGUGAGAUGUUGGGUUAAGUCCCGCAACGAGCGG